rnacentral:rRNA from 1 species
CUAGCGAGACCUUCGGGUCUAGCGGCGGAUCGGUGAGUAACGCGUGGGAACGUGCCCUUCUCUACGGAAUAGCCCCGGGAAACUGGGAGUAAUACCGUAUACGCCCUUUGGGGGAAAGAUUUAUCGGAGAAGGAUCGGCCCGCGUUGGAUUAGGUAGUUGGUGGGGUAAUGGCCCACCAAGCCGACGAUCCAUAGCUGGUUUGAGAGGAUGAUCAGCCACACUGGGACUGAGACACGGCCCAGACUCCUACGGGAGGCAGCAGUGGGGAAUCUUAGACAAUGGGGGCAACCCUGAUCUAUCCAUGCCGCGUGAGUGAUGAAGGCCUUAGGGUUGUAAAGCUCUUUCAGCUGGGAAGAUAAUGACGGUACCAGCAGAAGAAGCCCCGGCUAACUCCGUGCCAGCAGCCGCGGUAAUACGGAGGGGGCUAGCGUUGUUCGGAAUUACUGGGCGUAAAGCGCACGUAGGCGGACUGGAAAGUCAGAGGUGAAAUCCCACGGCUCAACCUUGGAACUGCCUUUGAAACUAUCAGUCUGGAGUUCGAGAGAGGUGAAUGGAAUUCCGAGUGUAAACGGUGGAAUUCGUAAAUAUUCGGAAGAAACACCACUGGCGAAGGCGGCCUCCACUGGCUCGAUACUGACCCUGGAAGUGCGAAAGCGU